GAAAUGCGAUAAGUAAUGUGAAUUGCAGAAUUCAGUGAAUCAUCGAAUCUUUGAAUGCACAUUGCGCCCGCCAGUAUUCUGGCGGGCAUGCCUGUUCGAGCGUCAUUUCAACCAUCAAGCCCCCGGCUUGUGUUGGGGACCUGCGGCUGCCCGCAGGCCCUGAAAAACAGUGGCGGGCUCGCUGUCACACCGAGCGUAGUAGCAUACAUUCUCGCUCAGGGCGUGCUGCGGGUUCCGGCCGUUAAACGACCUUCAUAACCCAAGGUUGACCUCGGAUCAGGUAGGAAGACCCGCUGAACUUAAGC
rnacentral:misc_RNA from 1 species